GUCUGGACUGUUGUAGAAGUUGAACUUUACCAGUUUGUAGGUGAGGAUGUUUGUUCCAUCCACAAACCUAUUACCCGUCACCUAUUCUGUAAAUUCCACCUUUUUCAGACGAACCACUUCGGUUUUGGGAAUCCUCAGGUUGCCUGACCGUGACAGGUGUACAACUGUGCAAGUAUUGAACAUCAGCUUGAAAUGCAAUGUGACCUAAAAGACAGCAUUAUAAUGGACAGAUAAAAGUCGUCUCCGGAAACAACUGAGACAAAUCUACCCAAAUUUGGCCACAAUCAUCAUUAGGGUUCUUUUGCUAAUCAUAAGUACCUGUUGGCCACACACAUGAAGAUUCUCAUUGAUCCUGCUUUCAGCUAAAUAUCAGAAAAAUUGAGAACAAAGGAAAAUAUGCUGAAACUAUACAGUUACCGGUCAGGAUUAUUUCAGAAGUGAAAUUAUAGUACAAUUUAUGUUACUGAUUAAUUCCCUUGAUUUGUAAUUUUGAACAACACACAGACAUGACAGAGGCUUUGAAUUGUUGCUUUUCAAGAGAGACACCAAACAAUGCGGUCAACAUUUAUCAUUUUUAUCAAAAUACGCCCAGGACAAACCAUGGAUACACUUAGCUUGAAAUAUGGUGCUUUCAUGCCAAAAUUUCCUGGAAGUAUAGAAAUAAAGAACCAUUCAUGUCUGACAGCAAUCAGGGGAUAGGAUGAAAUAAUGCAGAAUAAGGCAGGAGUGAAAGGAAGAGAAAGCUAGGCAUCAGUAAAGAAACAGAUCAAUUUAUAUCAAUAUGUAAUAAUUCCAUCUGAAUAUAUAGCAAACAUUGCACAUGCUAUGAAGAUUUAUUCACAUGUAUACUAUGAUUUGUAGUUAUAUUCUAUUGGAUGUAUUUGUAAAAUUAAAAGUACAUGUAUUUUACUUUAGAACAGUAUUUUAAUUUUUAUAUUUUGCUGUAGAGAAUAUCAAAGAAAUUUAGAAAAACAUAAUUAAAGAUAGUUUCUUCCAUGUUUUCUGUGACAAAAAAAAAUGUGCAAAUUAGGAAAAUUAAAGGCUAUAUUAUUGAAUAUUUUUGAGUUUGAGUUUUUUUUCAUUCCUAUUUUAAGAUUUCAUUGGAAUUUGAAAUAAUGAGUUGAAACUAGUUUUUAUCAAUUAUUUUGUUUUCAAGAUGUACAACAGUAGAGUAGGUUAAGGUUUUGUGUACAAUAGUUUACUAUGAUGUAAUGGUCAAAUAAACUUAGACUUUGUACUUUCAAGUGGUCAUUAUGAAGUCAGUGUAUUUUAAACAACGACAAAUAAGUUAUUAAACAUGGAAAUCUGAUUGUGGAAACAGAGUUGUCUCUUUGACACAUUCCCCAUUUCCAUUCUCAAUUUUACAUGUAUAUAUAUCUCAAUUCCAUAGAGCAUCACCUUCCUCACCAGCCUCUCAGUAAUGGCAUAUUGACUUUGAAAAUUUCAUUAGUUUACACUGAAAUAUUUGUGAUAAGUCCAGUUUAAGGAGAACCACUAAAAGUGGGAUAGGGAUAAUUUAUAUGCAGUUGAAUAAUUUUUUGGACAAUACAUGUGCUUAGGGAUUUUAAUAAUCCUGAACCCUAAAUCAUGGUUUUUAUAACUUACAAUCUUUUGCAGUUUUCUGUUUAUAUGUUAAAGUUAAUGCUUAGGCCAGUUUAAGUUUAAGACCACUUAUAGGCCCCCUAUUUUGGUUGAUAUCAUAUUUAGGGAAUUACUGAAGCAUGACAAAAGGGAUGCAGUAUAUUAUAUCUUACGAAAAUACUUUUUUUGAAAAGAAAUGAAAAGUAUGGUUAUAAACAAAAUACAUAUUUUUUUCAGUUAAAAACUUAUUUUUAUGUAUCAAAAUUAUUAGUGUUGUGAAAUCUGAAUGAUUUUGAUUUUUUCUGGAUUUUCCCCAGUAUGUUUAAAAAACCCAAAUGCAUAAUUUUUUCUUGUACUUUUUAUUUCGGGAUUUUUCCCGAAAUGGGUAAAAAAAAUCUAUGUAACAAGUGUCUGAUAUUAGAUUUAAAUUUUUCGGGAUUUUCCCGAAAUGUGAAAAGAAAUUUUUAGUCAUGAGGUCUAGCAUAAUAUACAUUUAAUUUUUCGGGAUAAAUCCCGAAAUAUUUGAAGACAUCUUUGUUAUACAUGUUGUACUUAGUUUAUUUUUGUCAGGAUAUUUCCCGAAAUGUGAAAAGAAAUUAUAAGUCAUGAGGUCUAGCAUAUACAUUUGAAUUUUCGGGAUAAAUCCCGAAAUAUUUGAAGACAUCUUUGUUAUACAUGUUGUACUUAGUUUUUUUUGUCGGGAUAUUUCCUGAAAUGUGUUUCAGAUCUGUUUGUUAAAAUGCUCUGCCAACAUAUAUGUAAUAAAUAAUAAUGUUGAGAAUGAUUUCGGGACAUUUCCCGAAUAACUUGUUGUCACAUACAUCUUUACUACAAAUAUUUUGAAACUUUCAUUUAUUUUGGGAAAUAUCCCAAACAAUAAAUGUAAAUUUUAUCAAUUUUAAGAAUGAAAACAUGGAAUGUUGUAGAAAAUGUGUGUUUCUUUAUGAAAUCUUCAUUCAAUUUAUGGUAAACAUUGAAAAACAUUAUAAAAAGGAAUAAAAUGGAUUUUACUCUUUUAAAA